rnacentral:tRNA from 1 species
GCCCCAAUAGCUCAGCUGGUAGAGCACAUCAUUCGUAAUGAUGGGGUCGGCGGUUCGAGUCCGUCUUGGGGCACCA